rnacentral:rRNA from 1 species
GAUGAACGCUGGCGGCGUGCCUAAUACAUGCAAGUCGAGCGAACAGACGAGGAGCUUGCUCCUCUGACGUUAGCGGCGGACGGGUGAGUAACACGUGGAUAACCUACCUAUAAGACUGGGGUAACUUCGGGAAACCGGAGCUAAUACCGGAUAAUAUAUUGAACCGCAUGGUUCAAUAGUGAAAGACGGUUUUGCUGUCACUUAUAGAUGGAUCCGCGCCGUUUUAGCUAGUUGGUAAGGUAACGGCCUACAAAGGCAACGAUGCGUAGCCGACCUGAGAGGGUGAUCGGCCAAACUGGAACUGCGACACGGUCCAGACUCCUACGGGAGGCAGCAGUAGGGAAUCUUCCACAAUGGGCGAAAGCCUGACGGAGCAACGCCGCGUGAGUGAUGAAGGUCUUCGGGUCGUAAAACUCUGUUAUUAGGCAAGAACAAAAGUAUAAGUAACUAUGCACGUCUUGACGGUCCCUAACCAGAAAGCCACGGCUAACUACGUG